CCUACGGGAGGCAGCAGUGAGGAAUAUUGGUCAAUGGACGAGAGCCUGAACCAGCCAAGUAGCGUGAAGGAUGACUGCCCUAUGGGUUGUAAACUUCUUUUAUAUGGGAAUAAAACGUUCCACGUGUGGGUUUUUGUAUGUACCAUAUGAAUAAGGAUCGGCUAACUCCGUGCCAGCAGCCGCGGUAAUACGGAGGAUCCGAGCGGUAUCCGGAUUUAUUGGGGUUAAAGGGAGCGUAGGCGGAUUGUUAAGUCAGUUGUGAAAAUUUGCGGCUCAACCGUAGAAUUGCAGUUGAAACUGGCUGUCUUGAGUACAGGAGAGGUGGGCGGAAUUCGUGGUGUAGCGGUGAAAUGCUUAGAGAUUACGAAGAACUCCGAGUGCGAAGGCAGUCUACUGGACUGCAACUGACGCUGAGGCGCGAAAGUGUGGGGAGCAAACAGGAUUAGAUACCCGGGUAGUC
rnacentral:rRNA from 1 species